rnacentral:rRNA from 1 species
CCUACGGGUGGCAGCAGUGGGGAAUAUUGCACAAUGGGGGAAACCCUGAUGCAGCAACGCCGCGUGGGUGAAGGAGCGUUUCGGCGCGUAAAGUCCUAUCAGCGGGGAAGAAAAAAGACGGUCCCCGACCAAGAAGCCCCGGCUAACUACGUGCCGGCAGCCGCGGUAAUACGUAGGGGGCGAGCGUUAUCCGGAAUCACGGGGUGUAAAGGGAGCGUAGCCGGCGAGGUAAGCCUGAAGUGGAAGCCCGCGGCCCAACCGCGGAACUGCUUUUGGAACUGUUUUGCUGGAGUGUGGGAGGGGUAAGCGGAAUUCCUGGUGUAGCGGUGAAAUGCGUAGAUAUCAGGAGGAACACCAGUGGCGAAGGCGGCUUACUGGACCAUAACUGACGUUGAGGCUCGAAAGCGUGGGGAGCGAACAGGAUUAGAUACCCUUGUAGUC